UACGUAGGGUGCAAGCGUUGUCCGGAAUUAUUGGGCGUAAAGAGCUCGUAGGCGGCUUGUCGCGUCGAAUGUGAAAUCUCAGGGCUCAACUCUGACAUUGCAUUCGAUACGGGCAGGCUCGAGUUCGGUAGGGGAGACUGGAAUUCCUGGUGUAGCGGUGAAAUGCGCAGAUAUCAGGAGGAACACCGGUGGCGAAGGCGGCGACCUGGUCCUUGACUGACGCUGAGGCGCGAAAGCGUGGGGAGCAAACAGG
rnacentral:rRNA from 1 species